rnacentral:rRNA from 1 species
UACAUAGGUCUCAAGCGUUGUUCGGAUUCAUUGGGCGUAAAGGGUGCGUAGGCGGCGCGGUAAGUCGGGUGUGAAAUCUUGGAGCUUAACUCCGAAACUGCAUUCGAUACUGCCGUGCUUGAGGACUGGAGAGGAGACUGGAAUUUACGGUGUAGCGGUGAAAUGCGUAGAUAUCGUAAGGAAGACCAGUGGCGAAGGCGGGUCUCUGGACAGUUCCUGACGCUGAGGCACGAAGGCCAGGGGAGCAAACGGG